GAUGAAGAACGUAGCGAAAUGCGAUACUUGGUGUGAAUUGCAGAAUCCCGUGAACCAUCGAGUCUUUGAACGCAAGUUGCGCCCGAAGCCAUUAGGCCGAGGGCACGCCUGCCUGGGCGUCACACGUCGUUGCCCCCCCAUCUACUCCUUCGGGAUUGCGGGGGGCGGAUGAUGGCCUCUCGUGCGCCUCGUCGCGCGGUUGGCCUAAAUGCCAAGUCCUCGGCGACGCACGCCACGACAAUCGGUGGUUGCGAAACCUCGGUUGCCUGUCGUGUGCGGUCGUCGCGCAUCGAGGGCUCGAAAAAAUUGCCGGGCUUCGGCUCGACUUUCAACGCGACCCCAGGUCAGGCGGGGUUACCCGCUGAAUUUAAGCAUAUAAUAAGCGGAGGA
rnacentral:misc_RNA from 1 species